GGUCAAUGAUGAUUGGUAAAAGGUCUGAUUGCACCUAAAUCACGAUCCCUGCCCUCGGCUCCCAGCCACCCCUGCACUCCCCAUGCAUCCGAGCUGUGCUUGAGGGGCAGUGGAGUGGCUGACAGUGUGGGACUGUGUCGGUGAGUUCUCCUGCGAGUGCCCGGGGCCCGGCCGGCAAUGUCCAACAGAGCCCAUACAAGGAGUCUGACGAGUGCAGUCGGCGUGAUGGUGCCUGAUCUCAAGUUUUCAAUCUGAGCCU